UAGAGCUUUCUGUGAAGCCGGGCUGUAAGGCAUCCGGUGGAGAGAUCAGAAGCGAGAAUGUUGACAUGAGUAGCGAUAAAGAGGGUGAGAGACCCUCUCGCCGUAAGUCCAAGGGUUCCUGCUUAAAGCUAAUCUGAGCAGGGUAAGCCGGCCCCUAAGGCGAGGCCGAAAGGCGUAGUCGAUGGGAACCACGUUAAUAUUCGUGGGCCAGGAGGAAGUGACGGAUCUCGAAGGUAGUUUGCCCUUAUCGGAUUGGGUGGGCUGCUCAGAGGUUCCAGGAAAUAGCCCUCCAUCAGACCGUACCCUAAACCGACACAGGUGGACUGGUAGAGUAUACCAAGGCGCUUGAGAGAACCACGUUAAAGGAACUCGGCAAAAUGCCUCCGUAAGUUCGCGAGAAGGAGGCCCCAUAUGUGCGCAAGCAUGUGUGGGGGGCACAAACUAGGGGGUGGCGACUGUUUACUUAAAACACAGGGCUGUGCGAAGCCGUAAGGCGACGUAUACAGUCUGACGCCUGCCCGGUGCUGGAAGGUUAAAAGGAGGGGUGCAAGCUCUGAAUUGAAGCCCCAGUAAACGGCGGCCGUAACAAUAACGGUCCUAAGGUAGCGAAAUUCCUUGUCGGGUAAGUUCCGACCUGCACGAAUGGCGUAACGAUCUCCCCGCUGUCUCUAACGUGGACUCAGCGAAAUUGAACUGUGUGUCAAGAUGCACACUACCCGCGGUUAGACGGAAAGACCCCAUGCACCUUUACUCCAGCUUUGCACUGGUAUCAGGAUUGUGAUGUGCAGGAUAGGUGGUAGGCAUCGAAGCGGGGACGCCAGUUCUCGUGGAGCCUCCCUUGAGAUACCACCCUUCGCCAUCUUGAUAUCUAACCGCGGCCCGUUAUCCGGGUCCGGGACCCUGCAUGGUGGGGAGUUUGACUGGGGCGGUCGCCUCCCAAACAGUAACGGAGGCGCGCGAAGGUAGGCUCAGACCGGUCGGAAAUCGGUCGUUGAGUGCAAUGGCAGAAGCCUGCCUGACUGCAAGUCUGACAAGACGAGCAGAGACGAAAGUCGGUCAUAGUGAUCCGGUGGUCCCAAGUGGGAGGGCCAUCGCUCAACGGAUAAAAGGUACGCUGGGGAUAACAGGCUGAUGAUGCCCAAGAGUCCAUAUCGACGGCAUCGUUUGGCACCUCGAUGUCGGCUCAUCUCAUCCUGGGGCUGGAGCAGGUCCCAAGGGUAUGGCUGUUCGCCAUUUAAAGAGGUACGUGAGCUGGGUUUAGAACGUCGUGAGACAGUUCGGUCCCUAUCUGCCGUGGGUGUAGGAGACUUGAGAAGAGUUGCCCCUAGUACGAGAGGACCGGGGUGAACGAACCACUGGUGGACCAGUUGUCGUGCCAACGGCAGUGCUGGGUAGCUAUGUUCGGACAGGAUAACCGCUGAAGGCAUCUAAGCGGGAAGCCCCCUUCAAAACAAGGUCUCCCUUGAGAGCCGUGGAAGACCACCACGUCAAUAGGCCGGAGGUGUAAGUGCAGCAAUGCA
rnacentral:rRNA from 1 species